GCUGCGUGGCCGAGUGGUUAAGGCGUGGGACUCGAAAUCCAAUAGGAUAUUCCCGCGCAGGUUCGAAUCCUGUUCGCAGCG
rnacentral:tRNA from 1 species